rnacentral:tRNA from 1 species
GUUGUAGCUCAGUGGUAGAGUGCUUGCCUAGCACAUACAAGGCCCUGGGUUUGAUUCUCAGCACCACA